UGUAGUUUGAAGGUUAGGUGCGUAGGGAGUGGAUGCAAAAGUGGAGUAACAUGAAACUAGUGUCAACUGGUUAUCAAUGGUCAGCAUGAAUUCUGUC